rnacentral:rRNA from 1 species
UGCGGUUGAAAAGCUCGUAGUUGGAUUUUGGGCGGGCGCUGCCGGUCCGUCGCAGGGCGUGUUACUGGCAGCGUUCGCCUCGCUUCGGUUCUCCGUCGGUGCUCUUGACUGAGUGUCGGCGGUGGCCGAGAAGUUUACUUUGAAAAAAUUAGAGUGUUCAAAGCAGGCUGCUCGCCUGUAUAGUGUUGCAUGGAAUAAUGGAAUAGGACCUCGGUUCUAUUUUGUUGGUUUUCGGAGCGCGAGGUAAUGAUUAAGAGGGACAGACGGGGGCGUCCGUACUCUGCCGUUAGAGGUGAAAUUCUUGGAUCGGCGGAAGACGAACUACUGCGAAAGCAUUCGCCAAGAAUGUUUUCUUUAAUCAAGAGCGAAAGUCAGAGGUUCGAAGACGAUCAGAUACCGUCCUAGUUCUGACUAUAAACGAUGCCAACUAGCGAUCGGGAGGCGUUACCAUGACGACCUUCCCGGCAGCUUCCGGGAAACCAAAGUCUUUGGGUUCCGGGGGAAGUAUGGUUGCAAAGCUGAAACUUAAAGGAAUUGACGGAAGGGCACCACCAGGAGUGGAGCCUGCGGCUUAAUUUGACUCAACACGGGGAAACUCACCCGGCCCGGACACAGGUAGGAUUGACAGAUUGAGAGCUCUUUCUUGAUUCUGUGGGUGGUGGUGCAUGGCCGUUCUUAGUUGGUGGAGCGAUUUGUCUGGUUAAUUCCGAUAACGAACGAGACUCUGGCAUGCUAAAUAGUUACGCGACCUUCUCGGUCGGCGUCUAACUUCUUAGAGGGACUAGUGGCGCUUAGCCACACGAGAUUGAGCAAUAACAGGUCUGUGAUGCCCUUAGAUGUUCGGGGCCGCACGCGCGCUACACUGAAUGAAUCAGCGAGUUUCUCACCUAGGCCGAAAGGUCCGGGUAACCCGUUGAACCUCAUUCGUGAUUGGGAUAGGGACUUGCAAUUGUUUCCCUUGAACGAGGAAUUCCCAGU